GGGGGUCUAGCUCAGUGGUAGAGCAUGUGCUUAGCAUGCAUGAGGUCCUGGGUUCAAUCCCUAGUAUCUCCA
rnacentral:tRNA from 1 species